GACGAAGGUGGCGAGCGUUACUCGGAAUUACUAGGCGUAAAGCGCGAGCAGGCGGUUCGAUAAGUCUGUUGUGAAAGCUCCGGGCUCAACCCGGAGAGGCCAAUGGAUACUGUCGGACUUGAAUACGGGAGAGGUCACUGGAAUUCCUGGUGUAGCGGUGAAAUGCGUUGAUAUCAGGAGGAACACCAAAGGCGAAGGCAGGUGACUGGACCGUUAUUGACGCUGAGUCGCGAAAGCCGGGGGAGCAAACAGG
rnacentral:rRNA from 1 species